GGCCUCGUAGCCCAGGUGGCAACAGCGUUGGCUGUACUUAAGCCUUCCCCUUGCUGGCGUGGGUUCGAAUCCCACCGAUGUCA
rnacentral:tRNA from 1 species